GUCAUUUUAAAGAAAUGUGCUUUUUUUGAUCACUGGAUGUAUUAUUGCUAUAAACCGAUAGGUAGGUAGGUUUAUUGUCACAACAUAACAAGUUAUAGAGUGAAAUUGAUUUUUGUAGGCCAUAAAUGUAGGCAUUUAAUGUGGAACUCUCUCACCGACACAUUCUCAGAAGUAGCCACAUUUUCCAAUUCUUCAUUUUUUAAGUUCAAGUAAGUGAAUUCACAUGUAUGAAAUGAAGGUCAUGGUGGAAAAAUCGGAAAUGAUAUUAUGCAUGUUGAAAAUAUGUUUAUAUAGGUUAUCAAAAUAACGACUUGGCAGUGUCAACUUAGAGUUAGGUCCAGUAUUCUCACUGAAACACUAUAAGCAGUGGUGCAAAGUAAGUAACACUAUGCAGCAAGUUAGCACAGGCAGGUCACUGCUUGUGGAAAUGGAGAUGGAUUUAAUUUUCCCACUUUGGCAGCUAGCACAUCUAAAGGUCACAGUGCAUUCUGCAAAUGCGUGUAAGAAAAUUGCUUAUAUUUAACCGUACUAUCAUAGUAACAUUUGCUUCAGGCUUUUAUUUAGCAGUUGUCAGUGGAAAACCUUGUUCAAAUCUCUUCAAUAUAAAGGACAGUCUAGUCAGAUCGGGUCUCUGUGGUAGAAGCUGGCCUGGCUCCCUGUUGCCCUCCUGUACUUUGAAUGAGGGAGAGCAGAAGAGUGGAUCUACAGUGGCCACUACAGGCUGUGGUACACUCGUACAGGAUCAGCACUACAGUACAGUAGGAAGUAGGCCAGGCCAGAGGAGCGAGGCUGGACAAAGAGUUCCCAAUACGUAUACACACACAUAAACUGUAUAUUUGGGGCUGGUGUAUUGUAUGCAAGUGCCAAAAUUAUUGCACAAAAGCACAAAUUCCAAGGCUCAAUAAACAAAAUAAUUACAGACAUAUAUGCCAAUGCAGUCACACAUACCACACUUAUGCACAUACACACCAAAGUCUCUAAACCUGCUUUUCCUCACUUUUCUCGCCAUACAUGGAAGCCAUUAGUCCAUUACCCAGUUGACUACUGAGGAUUGGGGGCCAUUUUAUUCCCCCUGUGUUAAUCAGGAUGUCAGCUGGGAGUGUCACAUGUAAUUUAUCCACAAAACCACAGCAACUCCACAGAGACGGUGAGCACAGUCAUAAUGACAUAAUAUUGGACUGAGGGAAAGUUUUCGGGGGUGACAGAUGAUGUCGAUUUUCCUCCCCUGUACAUCCCUCUCUUUUCUUCCAGACGUUCUGAAAUGAGACCUGUGCAACUUUCACCUGGUUGCUUUACAUCAUAGGCCCUUUGGCAGAGAUCAAGGUGUUUUUUUUCUCGAGUUUAUUUACCCAAGGACAAUUUUCUUACAGAGUCUUACUGUGCAUUUAAACAACUAAGCAUUUAAACAUCUUUUUUACGGAAUUUGUCAGACGUUUGACAGGCAGAGUGGUUUCUUUCACCCAACCAGAUAGAUUUUUAGAAUCAUUUAAAUAAAACUUAAUGGUUUCUUUGCCUAUGACCACUCAAUGUAUUCAAUAUAUGUUUUGGAGACUCUUUAGUCUGUGGUCUACAGCAUCACGUGUUAGUGUCUCUCAGCACACAUCGUCAGGAUAGAUACUUGUUUUAUGUACCUGCCAGGCAAAGCGAUAUUCCAGAUAACGCUAGGCUGCGCCCACUCAACUUUUCUUUUCCAACACUCAUAUAUUUCUUCAGCUUUUGGCCUCCGCUGUUGCCAAGGCAAUUUAGUCAGAAAAAAACUGCAGAAUCUGCAAAAUUGUUCCACUUGGAGGUAGAGUUGGAAGUGUUGAAAGGCCUCGCCUACAACUCUCUGACUAUCAAAAUACUGUAAAUCCCUUGCCUCACCUCACCUCCACUUCAUCACUUUCUUACUGUUCAUCAGUGCUGAGCUGAAUUAUGUUAGCUACGUUUAGUGAUAAAAACAAGUACACUGGCUUGAGCUACCUUUGUGUUAUUCAUUUCGGCACAAAAAAAAUUAUAUUGAAGGGGGCUGAACGAUUUUGAAAACAUAUUUAAUUGUGGUUAUUAUGACUGAUAUUGCAAUUGCGAUAUGACUUGCGAUAUUGGACAGAAUGAUAAUUUUUACAUUAUUACUCUCAUUUUCAUUGAAAAACAUUAAAAUUGUUGAUGUGUGAUUUUUGAGGGGAUUUAUACCAAACAAAGAUGUUUUCUUAAGUCUGUAGAAUAUGAUGUGUAGGCCAGGACAUCUCUGCAGCACAACAAUAUUUUUACACACAUUGCACUUUUAACAAAUAUUGCCUGUCCGUGUUGUGAUUCGAUAAAAUUCUGAUUAAUUGUUCAGCCCUAAUGUUGAAUACACUAUGGGCUUUGAUAUGUCAUUACCUACAUUUUAUUUUACUGAUUUGACUGCAAUUCAUAUAAAUAUAUAUAUAUAUGCAGCCCUCCAUGUGGUAUAUACUAAUAUACUGUAGACUAUCCACACAAACAACACACAGUGAGCGCACAGCUCGGACAUGUAUCUCAUGAAUCUCUCUCCACGGGUUGGGGGACUUCUGUUACUCAUGAGCCCACAAACAUUUUCUGGCGGCUGUCCACGGCACUGCACUGUAAUUACAAACGUUAGAAACAAUAUAUAAAAGACCCUUACCCGGCAAGGCUGUGUCCUGCACUGCAAUUAGCGUCCUUGUACAGAAUUAUCACCCUUCAGCAGCCGUUGUUGCACUGAAUGGAGGACUUUAAUUGCCAGUGUCCUCCUUGGUCUGGUUAUCUAGAGGAUAACCCAUAGGUCUGUAUUUAUCUCUAUCCCACUCUUUAUUUUCCUGCAGUCUGAGAUUUGACUAAUGAUGACUAACUACCUCAGUUGAUCUUUUUCCCUUUUCACUUCCGCAUGAUUUUCCUGGCAUCACACGCCUACGUAUGUACGGACUAACACGGGCACAUGUCAAAAGCUAUACAUUAACACUGAGCAGUCUGUACAUGACCUGUGUGAACAUGAACAUACCGUGCUGCAUGUGCAGAAAAACACUUAUUAUGCUCACAAGUGCACGCAUAUGCCCGCUUCACCCACGCACAUCACACUGUAGGCUUUCAGUAAAACAGCAUGCCGAUGUGUGUGCACGUAUGCAGCGAGUGGGUGCUACUGGGCUAGGCCAAGGCCACGGUGGAGCUUGUGUGUUGGCUGUUGGGUGAGCAUGCGGCAGUAAGAGUUGGCCAGUGUACAGGCCAGCAGAGAGGGUGCGGUGUGUUACAUGUUCCACUAAUGAGUUUCCUUGGCCAGGCAAGACCGUGGGGCGAGCUUAUUAGUAAACAGGCUACAGAGAGGAGCCCCUACAGCCCUCUGCUGCUGCUGCUGUUGCUGCUGCAGGCUCUCCAACCGAUCACUCUCUGUUUGUGCUUCUCUCUAUUGUUUUCUCUUCCUUUUCAUUUCUGUUGGAGUAAAUUGUCUCUCCCUUCGACUCUCCAAUUCUCUCUCUCUCUCUCUCUCUCUCUCUCUCUCUCUCUCUCUCUCUCUCUCUCUCUCUUGUAGGCAGUAAAAUGGGUUUUGACUUCAACCACAGGCACAAACAAUUUGGCCAACAAGUAAAAUCACGGACAGUCAGACUGGCGAUUGCAGCAGGAUUAAGUAUCAAAUAUUCAAAGGAAAGCUACCUGACAAGCUGCUGAUGGAAGGAGGAAGCGAUAGGCCAGUGCCCCACCCCACCCACCUCCUCCUCGCUGCGUGUUACAGAGCAGGUGAGACACAUUACCAGCGGCAGCAGCUGCAGCCCUCUGCUCCACACAUGUGGGCCAGGAUAUGAGCUAGCUUGAGCUCACCCACUGUCAACACUGGUCACUAACGUUAACACUCUCCUCUCUGAAGCACAAAACUGUACUGAGAAAAAAGAGACACAGUGAAAUAAGCAUAGAUUAUUAUAAAAUGUUUCUUUUUUAAAUUUAUAUAUAUGCUUUGAACAGUAUUGCUUAGCUUUGCAAUGGUUCCCACUCUUUUUAGCUUAGGUACUCUUUUAAAGUAAUGCAGUUUCAACCCCAUGUCACAAGUUGCAUGUGAGUUGUACAUUUUCUAUGAGUUGCAAGCAGUUUAACCAGAGAGGGAUCACAUGUUGUUUAAUUUGAAUCAUUUUCAGAUGUCUGAAGAGGUAAAACUUUAAAGGAAUUUACCAUUAAAAAGCAAAGAUUAGAGAUAACAGGGAGAAAUGUAAUUUCCUCAUAAAGCAUGUUACCGUAGCCUUUAAGUUAUUUACUGGUCACAUUUGAAUAAAGAAAUAUCUUAGCUAUACAAUUUGUUUGGGAUAUGUGCACUUUGUUGGAUCAUUUGAAUUCCCUCUCAGCUCGAGCCGUGAACCUGAUGACCCAGUCGUCACAUUGUGUCCUGAACACACAGACUCUGGUCACACCGGUGAGGUGUCCCAGAGGGAAGUGGCAUGUGUAUUUAUGUUUCUGUAAAUCAUAACCUCUGUUUUGCAUUCAUUGAGGUGUGUCAAAGCGGAUAACCUGCAUGAAUGGGGACCUGAAACGACUUGUUUUUAAAGACUGUCCUUUGGGGUGAGGUAGUAGGUUGUAUAGUUUUAGGGUUAUACCCUUCCUGUCAGAUAACUAUACAACUUACUGUCUUUCCUGAAGUGGCUGUAAUGUCAUCAGACACCAUUGUUGGAGCUUUUGGAUCUGGAUCAACACUGGAAUGUGCCCACUGACUGCUAAGAGCACAACUUGUUUGCAGCAUUUGUUAGAGGUAGGUCAUUUAGGAUUGUAGCUGCUGAAGUACUUUUCCAUCUUGUAAUUUUCAUGGUUGCACUUUAAGACUUCAUGGUCAAUAAAACAUUUUGAACACUAAUUUUAUCAUUAGUGUUAUCUUUUACUGGCUGUCUUUGUACCAAACAAACAACAACAAAACAAUUUUCCUCAUAUCUCAUCAGACACUGUAUAUUGUGUAAGCCUUUACACAAACUUGCUCUCAUCCAAUUGCUAUCCUCUUUCCAUAGCUCUUAUUUCUGUCUUUUUAAACAUAUUUUUUCUUAUUUGAUCAUCACGGGAUUAUAGGAUUUUUGUAAAAGUUCCAUGGCUCUUACACUAAAUUUGAUUAGUUAUGACUUUAAAAAUUAAAACUUGACAUCUGCCAUUGUCAUAUUACUUGUAAGUUGCUUUAUAUAUGAGGGGGGUUCAUGUUCAAAAUGUGGAAAUGUAUGGAAAUGUUUUUAUUUACUGUAAGAAAAUCUGCAGUGUUUCUCAACCAUAAUGUUCUCCAGUACAAGUUACAACAAAACGUGUCAACCUGUGGGGCUUUUCUGAUGUUCGAACGGGGUGAGGUAGUAGGUUGUGUGGUUUCGGGGUAGUGAUUUUGCCCAAUCAGGAGAUAACUAUACAACCUACUGCCUUCCCUGAAGGGCAGCAAUACUUCACCAUACAGACAACAGGAACAUAGGUGGUCCCAGCCAAUCAUAUCAGCAGAGAGGACCUGCAGGUAAAGUCUGUUCACUAUGGGAUUUGUCUUUAAUUUGUUUAUCUGCUUUUAACAUUAAUAAAAAAAAUAAGAUGAUGAA